CUGUUUCCUGUCCUUCUCAGAUGACCUCAUUAGCUGCACCUGUAGCCUGUCAGCCAUCAGUCAGUCAGUCCUCCAGGGUUUGGAUGCUGUUGUUUUUUGGUGGAGCGGUGGAGCAGUGGUUUUCAGCCGGUGUUUUCUGGACGUCUCUGCUUGCAGGAUACCCCAAGUAGAACCGAUCGGCACCAAGCCAGCCCAAGAACAGAGACAGAGCCACAGCAACUCUGUAGGAAUAACCACUCCUGGAAAAGGAACAUUCUCUGAUUAGGAGAGAGAAGGGGAGACAGACUCACACAUUCCGACAGGAAAUGGUUUUGUUGAAGCCGACCUCUUUCCCACUGAACCGAAAUUCUGUCCCGUUAGACAGUCGACAGCUGAUGUUUGGAGCUGGGAGACACUCCACUGAAAAACACACACAGUUUAAUUCUCUGGCUCCUGAGUGGCUUCGUCGAUCUUUGGCUCAUUACACAGAUACAUGAG